CCAAACAUCCAAAGAUUACCUAUGCUGAUCUUUACCAGCUUGCUGGGGUUGUUGCUGUUGAGGUCACUGGAGGUCCAACUAUUGACUUUGUUCCAUGAACAAUCUUCAAAUAAUCAGGUCCACCUCCAGGUCCACCGCCAUACGCUUCGUCUUGGAGGCCUGAGUCCAGUUCGUCUGAAUUCCCUCCUGUGUAGGUU